rnacentral:rRNA from 1 species
CCUACCGAAUGAACUAGCCCUGAAAAUGGAGGUCAAAGGAGGCGUCCGCCGAUACCUUGUCCAUUUGGUGUAGGAGGGCGUGGUCCAUACUUGGAAGUCUCUGUGUGAACAGAGGCGGAGUGUGGACUAGUGUAGAUCUUGGUGGUAGUAGCAAGUAUUCCAAUGAGAACUUGGAAGACUGAAGAGGAGAAGGUUUUCAUGAGACUGCAGUAGGUCAUGAGUGACCCGACCCUAACUCCAGGGAAAGGGGAUGUGGUUAACAUUCCACAGGUAGGCGUUGCAGAGUGGCGACACUAGCAACUGCAAGACGGCGGGGACGUCCCGGGGAGAGUUCUCUUUUCUGCUUAACACCAUGACUGUCUGGAAGGCCUUUACGGCGAGAGAGACGCUAGUGGUGGAAGAGCAGCACACUCUUAGUGCUGUCCGGAGUGCUGUUCACGCCCCUUGAAAAUUGCAGUUGUGCUGCAGGCCUAGUCGUACCGAAUCCGCAACAGGUCUCCAAGGUUAGCAGCCUCUAGUGGUAGAGUAAUGUAGGUAAGGGAAGUCGGCAAACUGGAUCUGUAACUUCGGGAGAAAGAUUGGCUCUGAGGGCCAGGCACACCCACCGCUCGCAGGCUAGCCGGCUGAGCUCUUGGUACGCUGGGAGAGCGGCUGGCGUGCCUAACAGUGGCUCGGGGGUGCGGACAAUGGCUGACUCAGAACUGGUACGGCAGGGGGAAUCCGACUGUUUAAUCGAAACAAAGCAUUGUGAGGGGUAUUCUGUUGACACAAUGUGAUUUCUGCCCAGUGCUCUGAAUGUCAAGGUGAUGAGAUUCGCCUAAGCGCGGGUAAACGGCGGGAGUAACUAUGACUCUCUUAAGGUAGCCAAAUGCCUCGUCAUCUAAUUAGUGACGUGCAUGAAUGGAUUAACGAGAUUCCUGCUGUCCCUAUCUACUGUCUAGCGAACCCACAGCCAAGGGAACGGGCUUGGCACUGUCAGCGGGGAAAGAAGACCCUGUUGAGCUUGACUCUAGUCUGGCACGUGGAGCUGUGUAGGAGGCGUAGUAUAAGUGGGAGGCCGCGAACCUGAAAUACCACUACUCUUAAGGCCGCUCCACUCAUCCUGUCGGGUAACACUGUUCUUGAGCGUUGUUAGGUGGGAGAGUGGCCAGGUGGGGAGUUUGGCUGGGGCGGCACAUCUGUCACAGGAGAACACAGGUGUCCUAAGGCGAGCUCAGAGAGGACAGAAACCUCUCGUCGACCAGAAGGGGACAUGCUCGCUUGAUUGCAACCCUCAGUCCCGGGGGCAACCGUGAAAGCGUGGCCUAGCGAUCCU